UGCUGCGUGUAUUAAGACGACGACAGUAUUCUGUUCCUGGCCCAAACUCUUUGUGGCAUAUAGAUGGCCACCAUAAGCUCAUCAGGUGGAGAUUUGUUGUCCAUGGUGGGGUGGAUGGAUUCAGUCGUUUAGUGGUCUACCUGACUGUGGCUGGCAAUAAUCGUGCUCAGACGGUCUUACAGAGCUUUAUUGCCGCUGCCGAGCAGUAUGGGCUGCCAUCAAGGGUACGGUCUGAUAAAGGGGGGGAGAAUGCAGAUGUAGCAGAAUUCAUGAUCAGAAGCAGAGGUACCGACAGGAAUUCACACAUCACAGGCAGAAGUGUCCACAAUCAGCGAAUAGAGAGGAUGUGGAGAGAUGUUUAUGAACAUGCCCUGGACCUCUUCUAUCAGAUUUUCACUUCAUUGCAAGAUCAGGGAACACUGAAUCCAGACAAUGAAGUCCAUCUUUUCGCACUGCACCGGAUCUUCCUUCCACUAAUUCAGCAAAGCCUCGACUCUUUCCGAGAUGCUUGGAACUUUCAUGGUCUUAGAACUGAAAGGAAUCAGUCGCCACAGCAACUCUGGAGAAGAUACAGAGAGCAAGGCCCUAUGGAGGAUCCUACUGAGGUUCCUGAAGAGUAUGGGACCGACUGGAACGGACCUCACAGUCUUCAUGGAGGCACUGUGUCAGUCCCUGAGGUUCAGCUGGCCCGUGAGCUCUCAGAUGAAGAGGUUGCCAUUUUGCCAGCUCCAGGAGUUUCUUUAACUGAUGCACUUAGAUUAUACGUAGAGACUGUGCAAGUUUUAUCCAGAAUCAUAGCAGACUGAUGUCCAACCCAGUGUUUUAUUUGUUUAUUAGUUUUCAAAGACACUGAACUUGUGUCAAUUGACCUGACCUACUUAACAGUGCAUUCAAUGACAUCUGUCUGAAAAAAUUAAACAAAUCCAAAUCCA